GGAGCUGUAGCUCAGUGGUGGAGCAUCUGCCUUGAGAGCAGAAGGUCACAGUUUCAAUCCCCGACAGCUCCA